rfam:Termitomyces sp. J132 unplaced genomic scaffold scaffold235, whole genome shotgun sequence.
GGCCGACUAGCUCAGUUGGUUAGAGCGUUGUGCUAAUAACGCGAAGGUCUUGGGUUCGAUCCCCACGUUGGCCA